GCCUAGUGUGGUGGCACGUGCCUGUAGUCCCAGCUGCUCGGGGGAGGCUGAGGUGGGAGGAUCGCUUGAGCCUAGGAGUUCUGGGCUGUAGUGCGCUAUGCCAAUCAGAUGUCUGCACUAAGUUCAGCAUCAAUAUGGUGAUCUCCCGGGAGUGAGGGAUCACCAGAUUGCCUAAGGAGGGGUGAACAGGCCCAGGUCGGAAACGGAGUGGGUCAAAAUUCCUGUGCUGAUCGAUAGUGGCAUCACGCCUAUGAAUAGCCACUGCACUCCAGCCUGGGCAACAUAGCGGGACUCUGUCUCUU
ensembl:misc_RNA Metazoa_SRP Metazoan signal recognition particle RNA